CCCAACUCAUACCAUCUACUUCCUUCACUUGCCCUUUCUUGCCACUUCCUUCCUUUUCACUCAGUCGUCUUCAGAUGUCGUAUUAACUCACCAAAAGGGUAAGUUUCCUGCUCCCUUCACUCCUGCUCUAGAUUUAUGUUUCUCAGCUUGCUAUUUCUAGGAGUCUCAUAUGACUGUUUUCUUUUCUUAAUCUUCUCAUUUGUUGUGCAAAUGGGCGCCUCAUUACUUAUUUACUUCAUUGUUAUGUGAUUCUUGAGGUCUUCCUUCUUCUUUCAACGGAUCUGUUAGAUUUGAUCUUUGAUUGAACGAAAAAGUCCAACUAAGUGGUUUUUUAGUCUACCCCAGUAAGAGAGUUCUUGCUGUUACACCUUCUGUAUGUAUUGUUUACUGUUUCCGUUAUACCACUCGAUUAUUAACUUUAUUUAAACCCCUCAUCAUUUUGUUGAGAUCGAUCCAAUGAGAGG
rnacentral:lncRNA from 1 species